UACCAAAACUCUUUUGUAUUUUAGUGGCCUCUCUGAGAAAACAAGCAAAUAAGUUAAAACUUUCAACAACGGAUCUCUUGGUUCUGGCAUCGAUGAAGAACGCAGCGAAAUGCGAUAAGUAAUGUGAAUUGCAGAAUUCAGUGAAUCAUCGAAUCUUUGAACGCACAUUGCGCCCGCCAGUACUCUGGCGGGCAUGCCUGUUCGAGCGUCAUUUCAACCCUCAAGCCCUGCUUGGUGUUGGGGUCCUACGGCUGCCGUAGGCCCUGAAAGCUAGUGGCGGGCUCGCUAUAACUCCGAGCGUAGUAGUAAAAUAUCUCGCUAGGGAGGUGUCGCGGGUUCCGGCCGUGAAAGCCCAUCUUUUACACAAGGUUGACCUCGGAUCAGGUAGGAAUACCCGCUGAACUUAAGCAUAUCAAUAAGCGGAGGAAAAGAAACCAACAGGGAUUGCCCCAGUAACGGCGAGUGAAGCGGCAACAGCUCAAAUUUGAAAUCUGGCUUCGGCCCGAGUUGUAAUUUGUAGAGGAUGCUUUUGGUGAGGUGCCUUCUGAGUUCCCUGGAACGGGACGCCAGAGAGGGUGAGAGCCCCGUAUAGUUGGACACCGAGCCUCUGUAAAGCUCCUUCGACGAGUCGAGUAGUUUGGGAAUGCUGCUCAAAAUGGGAGGUAUAUCUCUUCUAAAGCUAAAUACUGGCCAGAGACCGAUAGCGCACAAGUAGAGUGAUCGAAAGAUGAAAAGCACUUUGAAAAGAGGGUUAAAUAGUACGUGAAAUUGUUGAAAGGGAAGCGCUUGUGACCAGACUUGUGCCCGGCUGAUCAUCCAGUGUUCUCACUGGUGCACUCUGCCGGGCUCAGGCCAGCGUCGGUU
rnacentral:rRNA from 2 species